rnacentral:misc_RNA from 1 species
GGCUUGUAGCGAUUCGGAGGUGUACGACAGGUUAGCCCCGCUCAGAUCUGCUCUGCCAGGCUCAGAAAUUUCACGUUCUUUUAGUGAGCACCGCGAGUGAGUGAUAAAAUUUGGAUCGCGCAUUGUGGCAGAAUUUCGAGAAACAACAGAACAUUUUAAAUCGCACUUAAGUGAUUCGUGAAUCUUAAUUGACGCCUGGUCGUGAAUUGUCAUCGCGUUUUUGGCUUUGGCCAGUUCGGGAUCGUUUAUGGGAUCGUUAACGGAAAUGCAUUUAUUACGCUGGUCGCUGUGGACGUGGCUGCUGCUCCUUGGCGCAGUGGGAAUGGAUGCGUCUGUUGACUACUUCGCCUAUGCUCCCGGCAAGUGCGAGUUGUCCAUUUCGAAUGUGAUCCAGGACAUGAUUACCACUGAGGCUGGCCUUAUCCUCGGAAGGCCACGUCCCUCGCAAACAAAGCUGUUGCGAUACGAUCUUUAUACGCCCCUGAAUCCCGAGGAGCGUCAAUUACUGCGACCAGGCGAUCUGACCAUGCUAAGGAACUCGCAUUUCAACCCCAAAUGGCCAGUUAGGGUUUCCAUUCAUGGAUGGGCGGGAAAGAGUGUCACCUGCUCGAAUGCCGCCAUCAAGGAUGCCUACCUAUCCCGGGGCAAUUACAACGUAAUAAUUCUGGACUGGAGUCGCCAGGCGUUGGACAUCAGCUAUCCACGUGUGUCAAAGCAGCUCCCAUCGAUAGCUGGCAAUGUGGCCAAAUUGCUAAGGUUUCUCCAUGACAACACAGGAGUACCCUACGAGCAAAUCUAUUUGAUUGGCCACAGCGCCGGGAGUCACAUCUCUGGAUUGACUGGCAAGCUGUUAAAGCCGCAGCGCUUGGGUGCCAUUUUUGCCCUGGAUCCCGCUGGCCUCACUCAACUCAGCCUGGGACCCGAGGACAGGCUGGAUGUCAACGAUGCCUUGUAUGUGGAGUCAAUUCACACGGAUCUAACGCUUCUCGGCAAUCCGAGUACCAAGCUCAGUCACGCCUCCUUCUUCGCCAACUGGGGCCUCGGGCAGCCACAUUGUCCCAACGCCACGGCCACGGAGUUCGAUUUUGUCUGCGACCACUUCGCGGCCAUGUUCUACUUUGCCGAGUCAGUCCGUCAGCCAAAAUCAUUUGCCGCCUUGCGCUGCAGCUCAGCGAAAUCGGUACUCUCGGCCACCUGCAACUGCAACGUCGGAGGCAGCGGAAAAUAUGCAGUCCAAACAUGCACCGGCAACGAGUUCAUGGGCGGUGAGCCGGCGGUCCCCAAAAGAGGUAUCUUUUAUCUGAGCACGCUGCCCCAGUCUCCGUACGGCUCCGGCGAUGGGCUGGUUCACGUCAAAAGACCCCGGCCGUCCACUGUUCGGGAGACGGCAAACCGACGCCCAUUUGGCUAGAUCUAGAUCGGAGCAAGCCAAGAUUGCUACAGACCAAAAAGUGAUUUUUUUUUUGUAUUUAAGUCUAGACUAAGCGAAGAAUCUAUCCUCCCAAAGAAUUCGAAUUAGGGAAACAUUAUUUAACACUUAACUAAUCAUUCGGUAUUUCUUUAAUAAAGUGGAUCACUCCGCAGGUUUAUGGAGGUAAUUAAACGCAGCCUAUUAUUAUUUGCCCUUCUUAAUUUUCAUCAACUAUUGAACGUGUUGAGUCAAUGUCAACUCUUCGGAUUAAACAGCCUAAGUACGCGGGAACGUGGUAUGGAAAGCCAACAUAGAGGGGAGAGAAGGCAGAAAGACAUCGGUCAAACUGGUUCAUCGACAGCCAAUUUCAGAAAAAAAUCAGCAAUUGAGAUGAAAUAUAUUUAAUAUACAUUUACGAAAACCUGUUGGACUAACUGCUGAC